rnacentral:rRNA from 1 species
ACCGGAUUAGAUACCCUGGUAGUCCACGCCGUAAACGAUGUCGACUUGGAGGCUGUUUCCUUGAGAAGUGGCUUCCGGAGCUAACGCGUUAAGUCGACCGCCUGGGGAGUACGGCCGCAAGGUUAAAACUCAAAUGAAUUGACGGGGGCCCGCACAAGCGGUGGAGCAUGUGGUUUAAUUCGAUGCAACGCGAAGAACCUUACCUACUCUUGACAUCCACGGAAUUUGGCAGAGAUGCCUUAGUGCCUUCGGGAACCGUGAGACAGGUGCUGCAUGGCUGUCGUCAGCUCGUGUUGUGAAAUGUUGGGUUAAGUCCCGCAACGAGCGCAACCCUUAUCCUUUGUUGCCAGCGAUUCGGUCGGGAACUCAAAGGAGACUGCCGGUGAUAAACCGGAGGAAGGUGGGGAUGACGUCAAGUCAUCAUGGCCCUUACGAGUAGGGCUACACACGUGCUACAAUGGCGCAUACAAAUAGAAGCGACCUCGCGAGAGCAAGCGGACCUCAUAAAGUGCGUCGUAGUCCGGAUCGGAGUCUGCAACUCGACUCCGUGAAGUCGGAAUCGCUAGUAAUCGUGGAUCAGAAUGCCACGGUGAAUACGUUCCCGGGCCUUGUACACACCGCCCGUCACACCAUGGGAGUGGGUUGCAAAAGAAGUAGGUAGCUUAACCUUCGGGAGGGCGCUUACCACUUUGUGAUUCAUGACUGGGGUGAAGUCGUAACAAGGUAAC